CGCACGGCGCACGGGUGCGUAACACGUGGGUAACCUGCCCUCCAAAGGGGGAUAACCCGCCGAAAGGCGGGCUAAUACCGCAUGACAUUCCGGUGGCUUCGGCCGCCGGAAUCAAAGCUCGUAAGGGCGUUGGGGGAGGGGCCCGCGGCCGAUUAGCUUGUUGGCGAGGUAAUGGCUCACCAAGGCUUUGAUCGGUAGCCGGUCUGAGAGGAUGGCCGGCCACACUGGAACUGAGACACGGUCCAGACUCCUUCGGGAGGCAGCAGUGGGGAAUCUUGCGCAAUGGGCGAAAGCCUGACGCAGCGACGCCGCGUGGGGGAUGAAGCUUCUCGGAGUGUAAACCCCUUUCGACCCGGACGAAACGCCCGCAAGGGCUUGACGGUACGGGUAUAAGAAGCCCCGGCUAACUACGUGCCAGCAGCCGCGGUAAGACGUAGGGGGCCAGCGUUGCUCGGAAUUACUGGGCGUAAAGGGUUCGUAGGCGGUGCGGUAAGUCGGAAGUGAAAUCUCUGGGCUUAACCCAGAGGCUGCUUUCGA
rnacentral:rRNA from 1 species